rnacentral:lncRNA from 1 species
AAUCAAAUGAAUGAGCUUGUGAACCAGCAACCCAAUGCAUCAAAAGAUCAAAUCUUUAAUCAGGUUGUAGGUGAGCAUACAAAAUCUACUCUCACUUAUGGUCAUGGGAUUCGUAGAGUAGAUGUCUUUGGAACACAAUCUUUUCGAAAUGACAGUUUGAAAAUGUUAGAGGAAGACCGAAGUCGUAGGCAAGGUGCAGAACAUGAACUUAAGAAUAUGCAGGAAGAGAUGAAUGGAGUGAAAUCAACUCUUGCAGAAGUUUUGAAAUACGUUCGAGCACAAAAUGAGGCAAAUGCAAUUGAAACUUUUGAUAGUUGAUGUCUUAUGAUUUUUGAAAUUUUGACAAUUAUUAGAGUUGUUUACAAUUUUCAGUACUUCUUUAUCGGAUGGUAAUGAUAUUAAUAUUUGAUUAAAUUUUUUUUAUGAAGUAGUAUAAGAUACAAUUUUAAAAUGGGUAUUUUUCGUUAUAUGCUAUGCAUUUGUUAAUAAUUUUCAUGAUUUAGUUUCCUCAAAUUAUAUUAUUUAUGCUAAAUUACUUUAUGAACAAAAAUCAAAUUAUAUUAUUUAUGCUAAAUUACUUUAUGAACUAAAAAUGUUGCGACAAAAAUUGUCUCUAAGAUUAAUUAGUGACAAAUUUAUUAGAUAGAUCAUUAUUUUUUGUAACAAUAAAAAUGUCACUUUUUUUAAUUGGAGAUUGAAACAAUGUCACUAUUUACAUUGUUGGCUGCUGAAUAAAUUGUUACAAAAUUUAAGUAUAUAUUAAUUGUCACUAAUUAUAUUAAUAACAAUACAUUCAAGUGUCAUAUUUAAAUUGGUAAUGACUAAAUAAAUUGUCACUAAUUGAAUCUAUAGUGGCACAUUUCAUUGUCAAUAAUGAUCAUCAAUGACUAAUUUAAUUAUCCCUAACUAUAUAAAUAACGACACAUUAACAGUCACUAGUAUCAACAUAAUGACACAUUAAUACCCCCUAGUAUCAAAAUAGUGACAGAUUUAUAUGUCUAAAAAUAUUAUUUUAGUGACAGAUUUUUGCUUCUGUCCUUACUUGUCAUAAACUUAUAUUUGUCACUAUAAGAUGUGUAUUAGUGACACAUAAUACUUGCGACUAUUUACUAAUUGCCACUAUAUGUUUUAGUGACGGUGGCAAAUGCGACACAUAAACAAUGACAUAUAGUAUGUCACUAAAUUUAUUUUGUGACAGAUUUUAUAUUUAUAGAGACAAUUUUUUUCCAUCACAGUAGAUCACUUUUUUUGUAGUGAACUCUAACAAGGUAGGCACACUCCCUUUUAAUGCUGCUUCAUAAAGCAUGCUUUUCAUUGUUUUCAUAUCCAGUGCUAUUGAUCUUUGAUGUCUGGGAAAUUUUGCUAGCAUUAAUCAAAAAGUAUAAACUUUAGAUUAAUUAAAGACCAGCAACUCGACCUUCAUACAUACAGAGCGUUGAGUAGACUUUCGAUAAAGUAAAAAGUUGUGUCUAAUUUUUCAAAGCAUUUAAUCUAUUUCGUUCUUAGUUUCCAUCCUGGGGACCUGUACUGUUUGAUAUUUUGAUGUGUUUGAAAUUUUGCUUGUAGAAAUAUAAGACCUGCCUCUUGAAUUUUUUAUACACGUAGGACCCUAAUGCAUGGGGUUCGGGUAAAAUGUGAAAGAGCUGAUCAAUUUUUUUUUUUUAAAUCAAAUUGUUUGUGGUGAUGUACGAAUUUCUUUAAAAGAGUUUAGGAGAGUGACAACUUUUUUUAAUUCUCAGAAUUUACAGUCAUAAUAUUCAUCAUCUCAUUAACUAGUCUAACAAUUAUUAUUAUUCAUUAUUGUUGUUAAAUGACAAUUAAUUGUGUGAAGUGCUUCAUUACUCUGUUUUGUCUACUCAUAUUUGACACUGAUAGCCCACAUCCCAAUACAACUCUUAAAAUUAAAAAAUUAAAAAUAAAAAACAAUGUUAUUAGUACCUUUCCAUCAUCGUUGGCGCGGCGCUCUACCAGUUUCCAGCAAACGUAGAAGACCAAAACAAUUCUGAUGAAGUUUAACUUGCGAGAAACAGUGAAAAUGUUGAUAAUAAAAACCCGAGUUAUUGUUCAGGUUUAGGUUGGUGUCAAGAAAUUCUGAUACGAGGAAAAUCCUGGCAAUAAAGGCUGCUUGCUCAAAGCUGCAGCUAUCAAAUCUUCAAAAUUUCCAGCUGCAGCUAAAUGUAACUGCACAAAAUUAAAAGAAAAAGAAGCUAACAUUGUUCAUACAUUACCCUUAGCCAGACUUGUAUGAAUCGACAUAAGGACACUAGAAUUUCAGUUCCAACCCAACAAUUAAUCAUCAAAAAUUGAACUGCAAAUCAGGUUAAAAUGAGAGAACAAUGGAGGCUUGGUCAUUAAGCAGUUUUGACUUACCACCUUUGCUGGUCAUUAUCUACAGAAUAUAUCUAUGAAUUCGCUGCCAACUGAGUCCAGGAGAUGGUUUCAUAUUCUAAAUUAAUGUAGACUUGUGAAUCUCAGGUAAUGGUUCAAACAUGUCAAUAAUUUACAGCCUUUGACAAGUUGAGCCACCACAGCUUCAUUCAUUUAUUUACACGUGUAAAAUAUUAGAAAAUAUUGCGUAUUCUUUAGAGACAAAUUGAUUCAAAAUAAUUAAUGCUUUUCAAGGGAUAGCAGUUUUCCAAAAAGAGGCAACUGCUCACAAUUUUUGCCAUCAAUGAGUGCUGAACUCUUUAGAUUGGUUAAUGAGAUAAUCCAGCUGGGGAAAACAGCGUUGCCUCUGUAUGACUCCAUUGCUAAUUCCUUUAAAUUGACUCCUCCUUCUUCUUCCUUGUCAAAAUUAAGUCUCAAAUCAAUGAGGUUUUCCAUUUUGUCGAGCUCUAAUCUCUUAGCCUCACCCCCAUCUGACGCGUUUCAAAAUCCUCUGCUCCGUCCUCUAAACAUCUGUCAGCAAUCUUCAAAUUUAAAACAUAAAUCAAUGAUAAAUCUGCAAAAUAAUUUAAACUUUCAACUUAAUUUUCAGUUUUUUAAAUUAAUGUAUAUUUUACCUGUCUAUGCGCGCCAAAAUAUUUUCUGAUGACAUCAUAAUAACAACUGGUGUCUCUCCGAGAGUUUAUGAUUCCUGCUCAAGAUUAAAAGAAAAAAUUAAAAAAAAAAAAACGAAAAAAACAGAUUGAGAAAUGAAUGAAAAUAGAUUUCGUAAACUAAGAAAAUAAUUGUUGAAUAAAGAAAGUUAAACAGAGUUGUUAUCUUGGUUUCUUUAAGAUAUCAACUCUGUGAUUAUCAAAUCCACGUUUAAACCCUGAAUCCAGUGCACGAUUGACUAGAAUUUAGCUCGAAAAUUUUAUUCAAAAAUACAGAAAAUUGAUCCUAAUGUUUGAACUUUGAAUCAAGAUCAAAAUUCACCCACGUCAAAGCCAUUAGCGCUCUGCUCCUCACCUGAUCCAAGGAAUUGCAGAGCUCUCCUUCGGCUAUCAUCAACAGCCACGACAUGAACUUCCUCAGUAUCAGACGCCACAAGUCAAAACCGUCGAUCCUAUGAAACAUCAACCUCAGUGAAACGACGCCGUUUGUCGCCGUCAUGUCCUCAAAGCGGAAGAAAGAAGAAAGAAUUUCUUUGAGCAAGAGGCAAAAACAUGACACCCGGCCUGCUUGUUAAGACCUCUACUUUUUAUACGCUGCCCGUAGUGUCUUAUCUGUCUGUCUCAUUUAUUUCUUUUCUCUGUCAAAUCAAAUCUCUCUCUCUGAAAGAAAUCUCGUUUCUGCGGUGCCCUUUUUUUUUUUUUUCGUUUUAAUUCCAGCCUCUAUUAAAGCUCGGAUUCUUAAGUCCAACUUUGGUGAGAGUGAGAUCUCCAACUCAAGACAUCAUUAUCUCAUCUUCUCAUAUCUCAUCGCGGUGCUAUUAAUUUUUGCUUUGGUCAAACAUAUAAUAUUUGGGUUUGUUGACCUCUUUAAAAUAGUAGAAUGUGUACAUUAAUUAUUAGUUACCUCGAAAUAACUGAAGGCACCAAGUUGAAAAUUAGAUCCACAAUCACAAACAUGUGCUCAUUUUCCACUUUUGAUCCUUUCUUGUACCCCUCUUUGCAUUUAUUUUCACUUUUGAUACUCUUUGGCUUUUGUUAUUUGAAAAUUGGUGGAGGGCUGCUGUGACUGCCUUGAUAAUUAAGCUUUGACUGGAGUAAUAUGCUGCCACUUAACUAAGCAUCUUGGAGCUUGUCCCUAUCAGAUGGUGCGGGCAACUUUAACGUAGGUCCUAGGUCAAGUGUUUCAUUGCAUAAAAGAGCGCACUACCUAGCUGCUUGCCAGCACUGGGCAAACAGAUCGAAUAUAUUUUACUCCCUAUAUUUAGGGAGUAAAAUAUAGUUAAAGAUUUUCCACUAGAGGUUGGUGCUAGCUAGACCUAAACAUAAGCCAUUCAAUGUCUCCUCUAUUAUUUAAUUUGUGCUUCUUGUUUCCACAACGGCCCCAUCCCACCCAUCUCGGUGGUGUUCAAGAGAUUUAAGAUGGGGAUUUUUUAUAUUGGUUUUUUAUCAUCUUUUCCAAGAGAAUUAUUCUUUCGUCACUGUCUGGUAUUGCUUUUGUAAACCUGAUUGUAGAUGUUUGACUAGGGCAAUAUGCUAACACCGUGAUAAAUGUAUUAAUUCAUGUCCUUUUUCAGUCCAUGUACACCAUGCAGAUUGUAGAUUGCUCUUACUCUUUUCCACAUCCCCAUUCGUCACACUUCUUUCCUCUUACAUGGAAAAGGCACACAUAACAAUUUGCCUAUAUAAACUCUCUCAUUGUACCCUUUGUUGAAUCACAAACUUGCUUCUUAAUCCAAUUCAGUGUAUUAGUAGUUAGUAAAUUAAUUAACGUCCCCAACUCUUUUAAGUCUUGCUGCCUCUUAUUAACUUGCCUUUUCUAGUGGAAGAGAGAUUUAUAACAGAAAAGGUAAGCAAAGAAAUGGAAGUGCGGAGGCGUGACCCUUGUCAAAGGUACGAAUUAAUUCUGUCCUCUUCUCUUCUCUUCUCUUCUCUUCUCUCAAGUAUACACAGAUCAUUUGCUUAAUUACAAGAAUAUCCUUUUCGUUUCAUUACAAAAUUUGGGUUUCAAGAGGAGAGAUAAAUGUAUUAAUUCAUAAUAAAGAAUAUGAUAUUUUGCAGGUCAUACACUGUGAUUAACAUGUCCAACAAUGUAACCCAUAUACAUCCACCAACUAUUAUUGGGUAAGCGUUUACUUUCAUUCUGUAAAUAUAUGUUUAAGAGAAGGAAUAAGAAGUUAAGCUUUCACAAUAGGGGAGAUUGACAAUUUCUCACCUACGGUGAUUAAUAUAUACCAUUUGUCGUCCUGUUAUUUUUAUAACGGCCAAUAAUCUCCCUGACGGUAUAAGUUUAUAAUAUUAUCAUUUUUUUAUAUUUAUUAUGGAUUAAAUAAAUCACAUGAAUCGAAAUUAAAAUAAAAAAUUAAAUAUUAAAAAUAAAACAGCAGGACAUUUUCUUAUAAUAAAUAUAUAAGAAAAUUAUUAUAAGAUGAUAAAAAAUUAUUAUAAGAAAACUUGAAUGAUAAAUAAAUAAUAAAAUAUUUUCUUGUACUUUUUAUAUUCAAUUUUUAAAUAUUUUAAAAUAUUUAUUAGAAGAAAAUGUUCACUAAAUAAAAAAGUACAAAAAAGUUUUAUUAUUAUUAUUUUUUGUUCACAUCAAAACAUAUACUUCUUAUUUUUAAUACUUAAAUUUUUUAUUUAAUUUCUAUUCAUAUGAUUUAUUUAAUUUAUAAUAAAUAUAAAUAAAAGUGUAUUUGAAAAUAUGGGUAAUAUUGUAUACUUAUGCGGUUAGGAAGUUAUUGGCUAAUAUAAAAACAAUAUGGGGUAAAUGGUAUAUAUUGAUUACAGUAGAAGGAAAUUGGCAAUGAAAUUGGCAAUCUCCCUUUACAAUAGUGUCCAUAGAUCAUUUAUAUUACUUUUACGCAAAACUUUAUUAUGCAAAUUAAGUGAUUAUAUCCUAUUUUGAUGGUUUGGCAGUGUGCAAAAUUUCUCAUCAUCAUCGGCACCAUACCACACAAUCUUUGUAUUUCUGAUCCCAUUGCUUGUUGGAGUUAUUGAAAUUAAUAAUGUUCAAGACAGAAGUAAAUCCUUGAUUGAAACGCACUUGAUGAGUAUGUGCCUGUUUCUGUUGGCUAUACUCAUCUACGCCUUUGCAUAUUUUGCUGCCAUGAAAUCGGAGCUUCAAGUCUUCAAGGCAAUUGAGAUGAUCUCAGGAUCUCUUUGCUCAGUCUCAUUGGUCUCCAUUAUUCUACCACGCCCAUACGGACAUUUCAGUUUCAUUAUAUGGGCUUUUGUUCUUCUUCUUGUUGCUUAUAAGGAGAGCUUUCAUAUGAAGGUUUGGCAAUUUUGGAAUAGAUUUGGAGGAAACAACCAACAAUUAUUGCCGACGUAGGCUGACCGAACUAUGAUUUUAAUGAUCAGAAGAAGCUUAAGUGUUGAUCGAAUACAUGAAGUUAGUUCUUUUGUUAGGCUUUGUCUUGCUGUGUUCUCUUCUUUAUUUUUUGUUUCUUUUAUUUGCUUUUUGCUAUUUCUCUUAUUGGAGGUUUUAGAAUUUAGUAAUUUCCUUCUAAAUGUAUAUAUUUUUAUUUUUAUUUUUAAACUACUGAUAGUGUGUGGUAGGGUGUCCGGCCUAUCCUUACUUGAUGAUGGUUUAAAAUAAUAAAAAAAAAUCCUUUUACAUACAUUUAAACAAAUAAUUAAUUCUUCUAAAAAAAACAAAUAAUUAAUUAGCACUCACAACCCAACCUCAAAAACCGAGAAAGAAACUUCUCGUUAAGAUUUUUUUUUUCUUUGUCGAAAUACUGAUUUGUUACAAGUAAAUUUUAUAAUUGUUAUUAUAAGUAAAUUUUCGUAGGUUUUUUGCUUCAGUAAACAUGGUUAUUUCCCUUUAGAAUGGCAAGCUGUCAAUUAAAUGAACUAUUUAAUUAGCUCGUAACUUCUGUCGAAGUCAAACAUAUUAAAUUAAAGAAAAACAUUUAUAAAUCAUGCAAAAUUAGAAAUCAUAUGAUUGUCUUAAACUCUCUAUCAUAGAAAGGGAAGGCCAAUAAUAACAUAAUAAUGCCGAAGAUCUUACAUAAGCUGAGUCUACUGCGUGGGGGCAGGCCAUUGAUCAUCCUUCCGUCGAAUCCAUUGAAGGUUUCUUUAGAUUUAUUUUAAUUUAAAAAACUAAAUCCCUAGUUCAUAAUCUUUGGACAAUAAGAUUUACCUUUUAAAAGUCAAUUAAGUAAAAAAAAAAUUCAGAUUAAAUUUUUACGCGCAUAUUCUCGUCAUGAUUUUAAUUCAAGUGGCCACCAGAAAUCAAAGUUGGGACAUCUAAUUUAAUUUGAAUCGAAAUUGGCCGAGAUAUAUUGCCCAAAUCUUCAAAUUUUGUUGGAAAAGAGAGACAGAUUAUGUUACAAAUAUAAAUUGUAUGAAAUUAAUUUAAAGAAUUUAUACACUUUCAAAAUAAGAUUUGGUUAUUUUAGAAAUCAAUAAACUCUCAAAUACGAUUUUUAAUUGUCAAAAAAAAAAUCCAAGAUCCCUUUUUUUUUAAUAGAAUAACAUCAUAUUUUAAAUAGAAUUUUACACUACAACAAAGACGACAUGGAAUAUCAUUCAGAAAAUGCUAUCUAAACUGAAGGAUAGCAUUUUGGCCAACACAUGUAGCUAAAAGUCUUCAAAUAAAGUAGCUUUUAUUAGUUGCUGUGAGCCUGUGACCUAUAAUAUAUAUAUAGCAUUCAGGAAAAGCUAUUAUUGCUUUGCGUAAGUGCUACAUUGGAUUAGUCAUAGCUUUUGGAAAAUAUCACCAUAUCGCGUUUUAGCCAACCCAACACCAAGUUUCCCAUGUAGCCAGAAAUCUUUAAAUAAAGUAGCUUUAACUAGUUGCCAUGACCUAUAACAUAUCCAUUCAGGAAAAGCUAUUAUUGCUUUGUGAAGUGCUACAUUAGAUUACCCAUUUAUAGCUUUUUGAAAAUUCUAUGAAAUUGCAGUUAUAGCUUUUGGAAAAUGCUGUGUAUUGUAAUCUUGAUUACACUUUUAUAACAUCGUUAUGCUGCUUUUGGUAGCAUUGUAUAAAGUUAAAUAUUGGAUGUUCACCUACGGUAUCCAUCUAAAUAUAAAUAUCACCAAAACUGUAUAAACAUGCUAUCAUUCAACUCAUUUCCAUUGGUGAGAAAAAAAUUAUAGAUAAUAUAUGGUAUUAAAAAUUAACAAUAUAUACAUAUACGAUUAUAAUUUACAAGAUAAAGUUCAAAUUACAUUAAAAAAAGAAGAAGAACAUAUACCACAACAUAAAUAUGUUCUUUUAAUAUAUGCUCUUUUAAUAAUUCAACCAAAAUAAAAAUAAAAAUGAAAAAGAAAACUGCCUUUAUCAUCAAGGAGAAAACCGCCUUUAUCUUCCAUUUGCCUUCAACGCCUCUGAAUAAAAUUUUCUUAAUCUUCACUACCCGCAUUAUGAAUUAAAACAAAACUAAAUGAAUGAAAAAAUAAAAAAAUAAAGAAUAAAAACAUACUCUUAUAACUCUCAAGUAUGAACAAAUUUUAAAAGGGUUUAGCAAGUUUGGUUAGAUAACAACAGUUUAGCUAUAAAUUUUAACAAAGAAAAUUUUUAACUUAAUUAAUUUUGAUGGAACAUUAAGAUUCUGCAGUCCCAAAAAAAAAAAAAAAUACACACGCUAGUUAUGUUCUUGGGACGUCGGCUUACAAAGUAGGACCAGUUACAAAUGGAACAUACAAUCACCAGCAUAUAAGUUUUAUAUUAAGCAUCAGUUGCAGAUACAAAAUCCUCCAAACCCAUAAUUAGAUAUUGUUAUACAUGAUUAUAGUAGGCAAGGAUUUGUAACAAAUAUCAAAUAAUGAAAGUUUAUAUAUAAGUAAUAUAUUACCUAUUGAAAGAAAAUUACAGCAAGGAAUAAUAACAUAUUCAGGUUGGAGUAGAAUUGCACUUAACGAGCGUCCAAGGCACACAAAAAGUAUCCAUUUAGCAUCCUUCUUGGCGAGGUCUAAGAUGUAUGGUACCUUGAUGAGUACAUGAUACCAUAGAAAAUCAAUUCUCAAGGAUCGAGAAAUUCAACAAAUCCAAAAUUUAUAACAAAGAGUAAUAAUAUAGAGCAAAUAAAUUUCACAGUAGCUUUGAACUAUUAUUUUUUUUUUUUUGUUGACCACGAGGUAUCCUGGGGAGAGCCCCAACUAUGAGAGGCACCUUUAAGCCCGUACCACAACCCAGACUAGAAGUCUCCGCUCGAACCGAGAGGCACAAGUUCUUCCAACAAAGGCGACUUCCCUGCGACUCGAACUGGGGAGCAAACCCAGUCAAUCCAGUUGCAGAUACAAAAUCCUCCAAACCCAUAUUUGUUGUAGUGUCAGUUCAAAGCUAUAAGCCUAAAAAUAGGGUCCGCCUAUGUUGCAACAGUUGCAACAUACAAUAACUUUUGUCCUUUUGUAUUUGAUUACAUUAUAUUACCUUAUAUUUUUUGUAAAAUUCAAUAGGAACUAAAAGUUACAAACUUUUACAUAUAAGUCCAUUUUUAAAAUAAAAUGACAUUUGAAAAGAAUUUUAAUUUAUUAUUGUUAUUAUUAAUAUCAUUAUUAUUAUAUAAGAUUAUUGCUAUUAAAUUUUAUUAUUUUAAUUAUUAUUAUUUAUGAUUAUUACUGUCAUUAUUAUUAUUAAAAUUUAUUACUUUUAUUAUUUUAAUUGUUAUUAUACCGUAAUUAAUUCAUUAUUAUUAAUAUUUAUCUUGUUAUGAUUAAAAUUAAUGUUAUUAUUAAAAUAUAUUAACUUUUUUAUUUUAAAUAUUAUUAAUUAUUGUUGUUAUUAUUUUUAUUAAUAAUAUUAUUAUUAAAACUUAUUAAUAAUUUUUAUUAUUUUUAUUAUUAUCAUUAUUAAUAUUAUUAUUUCAGUUAAUUUUGUUGUUGUUGUUGUUGUUGUUGUUAUUAUUAUUGUUAAAUUUUAUUAAUUUUUUUUAAUUAACAUUAUUGUCAUAAUUAUUAUUUUUUGUUUUAUUAUUAUAAUUAUUUUAAUUAUAAUAUAUACAAAUAAUAUUAGGGACACAAUUAACAAAGGGCAUUUUAAUAACUUAUAAUAGUUCAUUCCAAUUAUAAAAUAAAGUAAACACAUCAAUGAGAAUAUUGUUCAUUCAUAUUCCGAUUCCUUAUUACGAUUCUAGCUCAUUUCGAUUCUUAUUUAAUAAACGCAUCAUUAGAAUGUGUUUGGAACAGAUUAUUUUAUUAUAUCAUAUUAUAUUUAUAUAUUAAUAAUUAAUAUAAAAAUAAUAAUUAAAUAUAUUUUUUAAUAAAUUUACAUAAUGAGAGUAGAUUUAGAAAUGAUAUUAAUAAUUAAAAAAUAUGAAAUAUUUAUGAAAUAAAUAAACAUAUUUAUCUUUAUGAAGUUAGGACGCAAACAUAAGCUUUAUUUUAUAUUUAACGAGUUGUGGCUCUUAUAAACUAGUAUUGAAUCAUGCAUUGUAAUUGCAUAAUAUCAAUAAUAAAAGUCCUCUUAAAUUUCCUAGUUCUUAUUCAUAUCAUUUAACAACUAAGCCAAUAAAAUAAAAUAAUUAUUAUUAUAUUUUUUCCUGACAUUUCAGAAAACAAGGGGGAUUGCAAUGAAAAUAACCUAAAUAAAUACACUCUGCCGUUGGAUUUGCUUUACCAUUCUUAUCUUGGAUCCAAUGGUUAAAUUACAAAAUGACAAAAGAAGUGGUAUGUUGCAACUGUUGCAACAUAGGAGGACCCCUAAAAAUAACAAGCUUUAAGUAAGUUAUUGACCAUCCUCUAUGAAUCUAGAAAAUAAGAACCAACUACUAAUUAAUAUUCACUUACUAAAAACCAAUUACACUUAAAAUAUAAAGUAAAUAAUUAAAAACAAAUAUUAAUAUGUAAAGAUCGUUGAUUAUUGAUUUUUUUUUUGUCUUACUUACGAGAUAUCCUUGGGAGGGCCCCAACUGUGGGAGGCACCUUUAAGCCUGUACCACAACCCAAACUAAAAUUCCCAACUCAAAUCGGGAGGGACAGAUUCUCCCAACAAAAACGACUUCCCUGCGACUCGAACUGGGGACUUGCUUUGUGUUUUCGAAAUAAGUCAUUGUCAGCAUGUUUCUGUAAAAUCUUAGAUUUGUACAACCACUGUUACUAUUAUUAUCUGAUCAUGCUCUCUAUUGGUUCAUUCACAAAUACCGAAAACAAAGCUCACAAGAGUUUUUAAUUUGUGGCACUAUCUAUCAUUUCAUUUUGUUUUCAUCUCUGGAUGAAAUCUGAAAUGGGCAAAAGAAAUUACUGAUCGAUGUUAAUUUUAUUUUUUAUAUACUUUUUCUUCCAUCUCUCUAUUUUUUUUUCCUUUCUUUUCAAUAUGUUCACUCUUUUAUUUAUACUUCUUCAUGUCUAUUUUAUAUUUAAAUUUGAAGUAGAUUGUAGUUAAAGAUAGAGAAAACUUUCACAAGUUUGCCAAUUUUCUUAAUUCUCCUCUAUAAAUAACAUAUUAUCAUCACGAAUUUUCUUAGUACUUUACUGUGGUUUAUUUAGUAUUUGGUACUAACUUAAACAAUUUGGCUAUCUAUUUGAAGUUUAAACCAUUACUUGCCAUGAAAAUUUGUGUUAGUUUAAUUUUGAGUGGCUAAAUAUAAUACAUGUAUGAAUAAAAGAUUAUUGAGCUAAUUAGACAUAUUUUUCAAUUUUUUUAUAAAAGCAACAUCGACCUAAAGAUAAUUUUGUUAAACAAAAAGAAGAAACUAGCCAAUUGAACUUCAUUUUCAUUAGAUAGUCAUAUUAUAUUUAUGAAAAUGAAUUAGGUAAAUAAAAGAUUCAUGAGAUGUGUGAUGAUCAAUAUAAAAAGAAGUGAUUAGUCCAAUUGAUUUUUUUUGACAUUUUAAUUAUAACCAAUUAACCACAAGUUUUUUAUUUUUACUUUUUCGUUUUCUUGGAUAAGAUUGAAAAAAAAAAGUAAUCAAUUUUUAUUUCAUUCCAGUGGUUUUGUUUGAACCACACGACAUAGGAGAUGAAAUUUUCAUAAAGGGUUCUUAGAGACAAUAUAAUAUUACUUUUGUAAUAGUCAUUACCAAUGUUACGGCAAAUAUUCAUGGGUACAAGCUAUAUAAUGCCCCAAAUCUUAUUUUUAUUUUACUUUGUUAGUUAAUAUAUGCAUGCCUGAUCAUUUCUAUUUACUUUAAUUGAUUUGACCCUAACGCAACCCAACUUGAUAGUUUUGUCAUUUGAUAGAUUUAUUCCCCUCUAAGUCAUUAUUUUUCCUCUCAAAUAUACUUCAAGCCAUUUUUAAAAAAGACAAUAAAAAAAUUUUUUAUCACACUUACAUAAAAAAUUUUUUUAUCACACUUACAUUUAACAAAAUACUUAUGAUGUAUUUACUUAAGGGUUUAAGGAAUGAGAAUGAAGGAAUGAGAAUAAAAUCCAUGUUUACUUGACAAAAUGUAAUUUGGGAAUGAGAAUGAAAUGUAUGGGUUUUACACAAUUUGGAAAUAAUGAAUGAGAAUCUCAUUCCCAUGAGGGUUGGGAAUGGGAAUUCCCAUUCUUAAUAAUUUUAUUAUUUUAAAUGUCAUUAUUAUUAUUAUUAAAUUUUAUUAACUUUAUUAUUUUAGUUAUUAUUAAUUAUUGUUAUUAUUAAUAUUAUCAUUAUUAACAUUUAUUAUUAUUAUUAUUAAUUUUAUUUUUUAAUUAAUAUCAUUUUUAUAAUAAUAUUUAUACAUGUAUCUAGUUAAUGAAAAUUACAUUAUUUAAUACUAUGGGUAUUUUGGUAAAUUGAUUCUUAUUCUCAUUCCUCAUUCCCAUUUAUUUUGCCAAGUAAAUACAUCAAUGGCAUUCCAGUACAUUCUCAUUUCCAUUUCUUUUUACCAAGUAAAUAUUGGAAUCUCAUUCACAUUCCAGUUCAUUCUGAUUCCUAACCUAUUCUCAUUCCACCACAUUCCAAUUCCACCUCAUUCUCAUUCCAUGAAGUAAACGCACCAUUAUAGUUUAGUGGCAAAGAUAUAGUGGUAAUUUUUUUAAAAGAUAUUUAUACAUAUUUCCUUUGUCUUAUGAUUAUAUUUAUUAAAAUUAAAAGAAAAAGAACAAAAUUGGAAUAUUUAUCCGGAUUUUUUUAUUUGUUACCAUAUUAAAUUGGAAUAAUUAUCCAAAUUUCUUUUAAUUUAUUACUAUUACUUUUUAAAUUAAAAAAAUAAAUCUCAGUUUAAAAAAAUAAAGUUACCUAAAUUGAAUUAUUAUUAUUUUUAUCUAAGCCCUCUAAUAAGACUGGUUGGGUCGCCACUAAUGGGAGAUGUGUACAUCUCCUUGCUCCAAGUCCAAUGUCAGAUCAAGUUGAAAUGAGAGAAUAAUGGAAACUUGGCUUUUAUGCAUUAAUUUAUAAUUUAUCAGUUAUCACCUCGUUCUGCUCUACAAUUUUUCAUUUACCAACUUCUCCCUUAGCUCUGUUUCUAUUUGUUUUUUCUUUUCUUUCUUUUUUUUUAAAAAAAAGAAAGUAAGAAACUUUCAUUAAUCAGACAACACUUUCAAAUACAUUCACCAAUUCUACUGGUAAUGAUUCAUACCAGCUAGCAGAUGUAUUUUUUCCUAAAGUAAAUUUUACUAAGGAAUUGGCAUAAGAUGUUAGGUAAAUAAGAGCACCAGCUCGGCCAUGCCAUCAUCCCCACGCUAGCAUGUCCUCAAUUCGUGAAUUUAAUCCAAUGAAGCCAUCCGAAUCAGUUGUGUCAUACAUAUCUGUUAGAUAAAUAAGAGCACCAACUCAGCCAUGCCAUCAUCCCCACGCCAGGGUGGACCACCUCAGCCGAGUGGUACGAGCAGAACACUGGUAAUGAGCCUUCUACAAACAUGAGCCGACCAGAGACGAGCACCAGCCAGAAGAAUAUACCGACCAGAGACAUAUACCGAGCCGAUACCCAUCCCCCAAAGAGCGGGCACACGAUAGUCCCAUGAGGGGCUGCCACUACCCGAAAAAGGGGGGAUGAAGGGUAAAUGAAAACGUGGGACAGCGGCUAUAAAAGGGGGAGAAAUCGAUGAAGAGGGGGACAGAAAAUUGGAGAGAAGGGAAAACUCUGCCAAAUUGAAACCAGACCAUUUUCAAUAUAAACUGUGAGCCAAUUAUAAGCAAUUGAUCGAAUUUAAAUUGCACAAUUUUCCCGUAAACACCUUGUGCUAACUUAGGCAUCGGAGGGUUUACGCCGGUAAAACCACCGGCGUCUCUGAUCCGUUUUUGUGACCGCAUGCUUAGUGAGAGAGGGAAGGCCCAUUCCAACUUCGGUGACUAGAGCAAUCGUCAAAGCAAGAAGAAAUUGACAUCCUCACUGUUGACAAUAUAAACGUUGGUGUAAAGAUCUGGUCGGGCAAAGGACGAGCAGAUUUCAGCAUCAACAUUUUGCGCCGUCUGUGGGGAGCUGAAUAAAAAGCUACCACCAAAUUAGUAGUUACCGGAGAAUCAGCGAACGAUUAGAAAUGGAUGUGCCAAGGAAUGAUGCUUUGAGGGAGGAUAAUGAAACGGUGGAGACUAUCACUCUCCGGGAAAUUACGAAUGAAGCUCGAGAGAGGAUGAUGCAAGAUCGACUGGAGCGGAUGGAGAAACAAAUGGAGACGCUCGCGGCCAUAAUGUAUGAACUGAGGGACGAGCGGAGAAGGGAUUGUGAAACCCCUGUGGGGAGGGAUGAAGUUGGAGCAGAACCCAGCCUCCGAGGGCGUAGAGUCGAGGAAAUCCCUUCUCCGGCAGACCAACCUAAUGGGGUGCAUCCCCACAGAAGUACCGGUCGGGUUCCAGGAGAACCCGUGGAUGAAGGGAGGGACCAACCUCGCCCCGGACGAGUACUGGGAAUUGAUGGGACCUGUUGACUGCUGUACGGCCAAGGCGGAUGUACGGUACAGCAGCAACUGAGAUCAUGGGUACUGUAAUUCCAAGAGAUUUCCGCUUCCCCGACCUCAAAUACUCCGGGCGAAGUGACCCGCUGGUACAUAUUGAAUGUUUCAACGACAUAACGGGUGUGCAGGGGCUGACACCAGCUCAGAAGUGCAGGGUGUUCCCGUUGACACUCGAGGGACGAGCCUGAGAAUGGUACCGUAAGCUGUCCCGAGGAAGUAUAAAUGGGUACGAGCAGAUGUGCCAAGAGUUGGCCGAACAGUUCCGAGGAGCAGUAGCCCUAGAGGACGACAUGAUGGAAUUGAUGGGGAUAAAACAGGAGGAGCAUGAAUCCCUUCGGGAUUUUGUAAAAUGAUAUGACCGGGCCGUGCUGGAUCUGUGAGCUUUUAAUCACCUGUAGGCGUUGAGGGGAUUAAAAGAAGGUGUUAAAAUCGGCUGAUUGUGGUAUAACUUAAGAAGCCUCCUAGUGCAGAAUUACUCGACAGGGUAUGAACAGGCGAGGCGAGAUAUAGAAAUCAAAUAGGAGAAAUCGGCAAGGAUAAAAAGUGAACAGCUAGAAGAGCUGAGACGAAAAGAACGGAGAGCCCCGAACGGGAGCGGAUCGGGAAAGCGAGCUAGGGAAUCCUCAGUAAUGGGCGGAAUAUCAGCUCGGUCCCACCCUUACCCCAUAGCUCAGAGACCACAACAGUUCCAACACAGCCGGGCUCAACCUCCGCGCCCCCCAUUCCCGGAGCGGCAACGAGAAUUCAGGCAGACUGCAGCCCACCCUUAUCACAACACUCCCAAAGCGUUACAUGCAACUAAUUCCAGGGCGGGACGACCAGAUCAACUACCGACGAUACCUGGCCGAGGUGAUUUCCAUAAUAGCCGAGCAGUUCAACUGGUUGACCAGUUCUUGGCGUACAGACAGUACACCCCAUUAAAAAUCUCUAUGGAGGAAUUGUAUGAGAGGAUCGAAGGACGAGGUCUGUUAUACCCUCCGACCCCUAUAACAAAAUCUGCUCACCGACGUGAUAAGAGAAGGUUCUGUAAAUUUCACAACACUCACGGUCACACUAUCAGCCAAUGUCGUGACCUAAAGAUUCAGGUAGAGGAUUUAGUGAGGAACCGGUAUUUGGAUGAGUAUGUAGAUGGAGUGUCCCCCGUCAUUGAACCACAGUACACGCGGGAUGAAGAAGUUGAGAGGGGUCUGGAACGGGAACAGCCGACCAUCCGUGUGAUAGCAGGAGGGCCAACAUUGGCCGGGGAUUUAAACAGAGCACGGAAGAACUAUGAGAGGUAUGCCAUGACUGGCAAAGAGGUGCUUCUCAAUUUGCUAGCAGCCAAGAGGGCAAAAGUGCGGCAAGUCCCCAUUAUGUGGACGGAGGACGACGAAGAGGGUAUUUUAUAUCCUCACGAGGACGCACUGGUGAUUAAAGCAUUGGUGGCUAGUACAAAAUUGUGGCGAAUACUGGUGGACACGGGCAGCUCAAUUGACAUUCUGUUUAAGUCGGCCCUAGAUGAUAUAGGGAUUUCAGACUUGAAGCUGGAGCGGACAAAUACAUCUUUGAAGGGAUUUGGAGGGGGACGGUUAACUCCCAUGGGGAUCAUCGAACUCCCGAUUACAGUGGGGUCAAAGCCUUUUGAAAGAACGAUGAUGCUGGACUUUGUCAUGGUAGACGAAAGAAGCUCUUACCAGAUGAUACUGGGGAGACCGUUCAUGAGGAUAAGCCAAUGUGUAAUAUCUACGCAUUAUCUGGCGUUGAAAUACAGAGUAAAUGGAGUUGUUGGCGUAGUAAAAGGCGACCAGAGAAUGACAAGGAGCUGCUAUGCAACAGCGGCCAAGGAAACGCUGCAGGUUACAUCUCUAGAUAACCGAGGGGACUCAAAAAAGGGUCGCCAGGAACCUGUUGAGAAGCUGGAGGGAGUUGUUGUAAGCAAGAAUAACCCGAGCAGGGUGGUUAAGAUCGUGUCAGAAUUGGGCGAAGCAAUAAAAGACGAGCUCGUGAAAUGCCUACAGUCCCAUGCAGAUAUAUUUGCAUGGUCUCAUGACGACAUGCCAGGUAUUGAUCGUGGGAUAGCUUGCCACAAGCUGGCAAUCAAGAAAGAAGCAAGGCCGGUGAGGUAGAAAAUGAGGUGUUUUAACCAAGAAAUGUACGAGGCCAUAAAUGCCGAGGUAGAGAAGCUGUUGAAAGCAGGAUUUAUAAGGGAGGCUAAAUACCCAAAAUGGAUUUCCAACGUAGUGUUGGUGAAGAAGGCCAACGGGAAAUAGCGAAUGUGUGUGGAUUUCACAGACCUUAAUAAGGCAUGCCUAAAGGACAGUUUUCCCUUACUAAAAAUAGACCAAUUGGUGGAUUCAACGGCGGGGCAUAGUCUGCUCAGCUUCAUAGAUGCCUUCUUAGGAUACAACCAAAUACCCAUGAACGAGCAGGACGAGAAAAGUACUACCUUUAUAACUAACAUGGGUUUGUUUUGUUACAGGAUGAUGCAUUUUGGCCUGAAAAAUGCAGGAGCUACCUAUCAAAGGUUAGUGAACAAAGUCUUCAAACUAUUGAUCGGUCACACUAUGGAGGUAUAUGUGGACGAUAUGAUCACAAAGUCAAGAGAACCGAAAGAUCAUGUGAAGCACUUAGAAGAGACCUUCGAAUUGCUGAGGAGGUAUGAAAUGAAGCUGAACUCGGAGAAAUGUGCAUUUGGGGUUAGCUCGGGUAAAUUUUUGGGAUACCUGGUGAGCCACCGAGGGAUCGAGGCCAACCCGGAAAAAAUACGGGCGGUGAUAGAAAUGAGGUCCCCACGAACAGUUAAGGAGGUGCAGAGCCUUACAGGGAAAUUGGCAGUAUUGAACCGAUUCGUUUCGCGAGUCACUGAUAAGUGCCACCCUUUCUUCUAAACCAUAAAGAAAGGGAGGAAGAUGGAAUGGACAUCAGAAUGCGAGGAGGCAUUUGAACAACUGAAGGAAUACCUAGCCCGUGCCCCGUUACUAUCAACUCCGAGAGAGGGUGACCAGCUGUUUUUGUACUUAGCAAUCUCUAAAUGGGCUACCAGUUGUUUAGUCAGGGAAGAAGAAGGGAAGCAACAUCCGAUAUACUAUACAAGCAAGGCCCUGGUAGACGCUGAAACUAGAUACCCACUGAUGGAGAAGGCCCAUACAGGGUGAUACGAGCGACUGGACCAGGAGCUUACAGACUAGCGUACCCAGACGGACGAGAUGUGAAAAGGUCGUGGAACGCCGAGCACUUGAAGAAGUAUUUCCAGUAAGCAAAGUGCUCUACUAAGUCUUCAUUUUGAUGAGUUAUGUCUGUUAAAUGCAUGAUGACUUGUCUGCUCGGUCAACGAAAGACCAGCAGGCAAUUCUACGAAAAUUCACUAAGGCAAAUAAGUGCCUGCUCUUGCUCAGUCAACGAAAGACCAGCAGGCAAUUCUACGAAAAUGUUACUAAGGUAAGCAAGUGUCUGCUCCUGCUCGGUCAACGAAAGACCAGUAUGCAAUUCUACGAAAAUUUACUAAGGCAAAUAAGUGCCUGCUCCUGCUCGGUCAACGAAAGACCAGCAGGCAAUUCUACGAAAAUUCACUAAGGCAAAUAAGUGCCUGCUCUUGCUCAGUCAACGAAAGACCAGCAGGCAAUUCUACGAAAAUUCACUAAGGCAAAUAAGUGCCUGCUCUUGCUCAGUCAACGAAAGACCAGCAGGCAAUUCUACGAAAAUUCACUAAGGCAAAUAAGUGCCUGCUCUUGCUCAGUCAACGAAAGACCAGCAGGCAAUUCUACGAAAAUUCACUAAGGCAAAUAAGUGCCUGCUCUUGCUCAGUCAACGAAAGACCAGCAGGCAAUUCUACGAAAAUUCACUAAGGCAAAUAAGUGCCUGCUCUUGCUCAGUCAACGAAAGACCAGCAGGCAAUUCUACGAAAAUUCACUAAGGCAAAUAAGUGCCUGCUCUUGCUCAGUCAACGAAAGACCAGCAGGCAAUUCUACGAAAAUUCACUAAGGCAAAUAAGUGCCUGCUCUUGCUCAGUCAACGAAAGACCAGCAGGCAAUUCUACGAAAAUUCACUAAGGCAAAUAAGUGCCUGCUCUUGCUCAGUCAACGAAAGACCAGCAGGCAAUUCUACGAAAAUAUAAGUGCCUGCUCCUGCUCGGUCAACGAAAGACCAGUAGGCAAUUCUACGAAAAUUUACUAAGGCAAAUAAGUGCCUGCUCCUGCUCGGUCAACGAAAGACCAGUAGGCAAUUCUACGAAAAUGUUACUAAGGCAAAUAAGUGCCUGCUCCUGCUCGGUCAACGAAAGACCAGUAGGCAAUUCUACGAAAAUGUUACUAAGGCAAAUAAGUGCCUGCUCCUGCUCGGUCAACGAAAGACCAGUAGGCAAUUCUACGAAAAUGUUACUAAGGCAAAUAAGUGCCUGCUCCUGCUCGGUCAACGAAAGACCAGUAGGCAAUUCUACGAAAAUGUUACUAAGGCAAAUAAGUGCCUGCUCCUGCUCGGUCAACGAAAGACCAGUAGGCAAUUCUACGAAAAUGUUACUAAGGCAAAUAAGUGCCUGCUCCUGCUCGGUCAACGAAAGACCAGUAGGCAAUUCUACGAAAAUUUACUAAGGCAAAUAAGUGCCUACUCCUGCUCGGUCAACGAAAGACCAGCAUGCAAUUUUUACGAAAUGUUACUAAGGCAAGCAAGUGCCUACUCCUGCUCGGUCAACGGAAGACCAGCAGGCAAUUUUUACGAAAUGUUAUUAAGGCAAGCAAGUGCCUACUCCUGCUCGGUCAACGGAAGACCAGCAGGCAAUUUUUACGAAAUGUUAUUAAGGCAAGCAAGUGCCUACUCCUGCUCGGUCAACGGAAGACCAGCAGGCAAUUUUUACGAAAUGUUAUUAAGGCAAGCAAGUGCCUACUCCUGCUCGGUCAACGGAAGACCAGCAGGCAAUUUUUACGAAAUGUUAUUAAGGCAAGCAAGUGCCUACUCCUGCUCGGUCAACGGAAGACCAGCAGGCAAUUUUUACGAAAUGUUACUAAGGCAAGCAAGUGCCUACUCCUGCUCGGUCAACGGAAGACCAGCAGGCAAUUUUUACGAAAUGUUAUUAAGGCAAGCAAGUGCCUACUCCUGCUCGGUGAACGAAAGACCAGCAGGUAAUUUUUACGAAAUGUUACUAAGGCAAGUAAGUGCCUACUCCUACUCGGUCAAAGAAAGACCAGCAGACAACUUUACGAAAUUCUACUAAGGCAAGCGAGUGCCUAUUCCUGCUCGGUCGCCUAAAGGACCAGCAGGCAAAUCUACAAAUUUGAUUAUGGCAAACAAGUGCCUAUUCCUGCUCGGUCCACUAAAGAACCAGUAGGUAAAAUCAGAUAAAUUGUCAAGUUAAUUUGCAGAAACAAUCCAUGAACAAAAGCCAGACAACAGAAGAGCCAAUAGAAAGCAUCUAGAAUUUAUGCUCAAAAUGGGGAUCAACAAUCUCUAGGAGAGGAGGAUCAGCAACGUUGGGGGGAGGAGGCAACGACCCUUGACCAACUUCAGGAGCACGAUCUCCUGCUUCCUCCGCCUGCACCCCUCCUAAAGGAGCCUCCACCUGGUCUUGAUCACCCUGUUCCUUAUCCCCCUGGUCGGCCUCAGCCAUGUAUCUCUGCACUCCAGCCUCCAGCUUGCUCAUGUCCAACUCGGGAUAUUCUUCCUUAAGCACAGACAUGAUACACUUGUAGCUGAAAGCAACCCCAGAGUCAUACUCGGCAUCCAGCUGAUCGUCCACAUCAACAGAUUUGCCUUUCGCCUCAGCCAACUGCUCACUCAGGGAUUUGAUUUCUCCCUCAAGGGCGGUCCUCAAAGUAUCUCUCUCACUUUGAGUAGCCCGAAGAUCAGACCUAAGGUCACCCAAUUCACCCUCAAGUUUGGAGGUGGUGGACUCAGCAACAGUAACUUUCUCCUCCAGGUCCGUGAUCUGCUUGUUCAGCUCAGCCAGCUUCUCCUUCGAGCGAUCAGCAGAUUCAACUUUCUUCUUCAACUCCUGAUUGUCAGCUUGAAGCUUCUUCUCAUGGCGCACAGACCUGUUCUUGUAACACGAAACCAUGGUGGCCAGCCUGAAGGAGACUCUUUAAACAGAACCAGCUAGCUCGGAGAGGCUCAUAUUCUCGAUGUCCUUCACCAUCUUGGGCCCCACCGAUUUUCUGUAAUCCUUCUGAUACGGGCUCAGGUAGUCACCUUGAUCCCGAGAUGGAAGAGGAGAAGAUCGGUCCCCAGACUGGAUGCUGACCUCAGGACUCUUGUCGGAAGUUUUCUCCCCACCACUCUUACGAGGUGGAGGAGAGGGUAGAGCAGGAACAGGAGCCUUGGAAGGACCGACGCUGGUUUUCUUUGGAGGAGGAGGAGGGUUAUUGGAGCUGCUUGGAGCCCGACCACGCUUUCUGCACAUUGCUCUGAGGAUCUUGUUAUCCAUUCCGGCAGCAAUGUCUACUAAGCCCGAACCGACCAAGUUUGUUGGCGAUAGGAGGUCUUGGCAAGUAGACGCGUUCACCAGAGCAGUUUCAACCUGAAGUAAAAGUCGGUCCUCAAGAUCCUUAACCAAACCCCACGAUUCUGGAAAAACAAACAAGGUUAAAGAACCCAAUAAGUGGCAAUUUGAGAAAGAAUAUAGGCAAAAUAUGAACGACCUGGGGUGACAAAAUACGUUGGAAGGUAAAUAUCACCACCCAACGAAUAAGCUGCUGGACACCAAUUUCCUCCAGCAAAUAAGAAUUUGUUCUUCCAAUUUUUGCACGAGGAAGGGAAGCCGGUGAUUGGCUUCCUCUUCGCAGAGCUCGACAUGAAAUAAUACCAGCCUGCUUCCUUCGGGCUACUCCUCAGCUGGUAUAAAUGCUUCACUUCAACAAGGGAGGACUCCUCUGAUCCACACCUCUCCCAUAAUACGAACAUAGCCGAGAGAACCCUCCACCCGUUUGGAUGUAACUGACCUAGGGCCAGGUGCAUACCCCCCAAUAUCUUGGCAUAAUAACGCUGAAGGGGCAGCCGAGCUCCUAGUCUGAAACUCUCCAGGUGCAUCGUCACAUACCCCCGCAGAGGCUGACUAGGAACGUCACCUUUCCCAGGAACUACAAGGAGAACCUCCUCAGGAAUGUCGUAGAGGUUCCUAAGCUUGAACAGAUCAGUUUGGGUAGUGGCACAGGCUAUGUAGUCGAUAGGGUAAGAAUCUGCCUCCACCCUAUGGCCAAGGUUUCUCUUCUUAGGAGGUCGACUUGGCUCGAAACUGCUUCCCUCACCAUCACCCACUACUUCAGGGGCCCCGACCCCACCAGAACUGCGGUUCUCACCAGAGCCCGACGCAGGUCCCCCUCUAUUUCCUACAAAUUCUAAUUCAGGGGAAGGUGAAAUGAUCAGGGGACGUGGGUACUCAGGGGUAUCCCUGCCAUGGGAGGGGCCUACACUACUAGAAAGCCGUAAAAAAUUAGUGGGUAUUGACAAGUUAAGGUGUGAAUCCUCUGUUUCUUCGUCACUCUCAUCUGCAAUCAACUUCCUUCUUCGAUUUGACAUAUCGAAGUCCCAAAAGGAAACCAAAACAAACCCAAGUACACGAAUACAAAAAGGGGCAACACAGAACCCAAUCAACAACAGCAAAAGAAGAGGUUAAAGGCUAUACCUGGAAUAGACUGGCACUGAUAGCGCUGCCGUGACAGAAAAAACACCCAGCAAGUGGACACUCCGGACGCUGGAAGUGUGGGCAAAGUUUAAAGAAGGAUUUGGUUAACGACGGAGAAACGAAUAACAAAAUGAUGAUGAUUUUAAUCUAGGGAUUUGAAACGAAAAGGGGAAAAUGGAAGCGUUUAAGUUAUGAGGAUGCCAGCUCACUCACCAUAUAUCGAGGAUGGAUAACCCGUCGUUUCAAAUUUCAAAUACGAAGAAUCAGGAAGCGCCACGUCAUUAACCGUUACAAAAGGCUUGACGAGGCAUAAGCUCAAAUAUAUACGAGAUAUAUUCAUAAAGGCCUAUGCUCGGAUAAAAGAAAUCUCCUCAGAUGAGAGAGGGAACCUCAGGUCCAUCCCAAUAAACAGAAGACCAGAUGGGAAGUUCCCCGGGCCGGUAAGAUUCGAUUAUUAGUUUCUACUAUCAACUCGUUUCACUCGCAAGACCAGAAACUGGGGGACUGGUGUUAGAUAAAUAAGAGCACCAGCUCGGCCAUGCCAUCAUCCCCACGCCAGGGUGGACCACCUCAGCCGAGUGGUACGAGCAGAACACUAGUAAUGAGCCUUCUACAAACAUGAGCCGACCAUAGACGAGUACCAGCCAGAAGAAUAUACCGACCAGAGACAUAUACCGAGCCGAUACCCAUCCCCUAAAGAGCGGGCACACGAUAUCACGGAAUCACGAUAGUUGCGCUAUUCCCAGAACCGUUGAGGGAGACGCAAGAUUCCACGUUUGCCCACAAUGUAGCAGUUAAAGUCCCAUGAGGGGCUGCCACUACCCGAAAAAGGGGGGAUGAAGGGUAAAUGAAAACGUGGGACAGCAGCUAUAAAAGGGGGAGAAAUCGAUGAAGAGGAAGACAGAAAAUAGGAGAGAAGGGAAAACUCUGCCAAAUUGAAACCAGAACAUUUUCAAUAUAAACUGUGAGCCAAUUAUAAGCAAUUGAUCGAAUCUAAAUUGCACAAUUUUCCCGUAAACACCUUGUGCUAACUUAGGCAUCGGAGGGUUUACGCCGGUAAAACCACCGGCGUCUCUGAUCCGUUUUUGUGACCGCAUGCUUAGUGAGAGAGGGAAGGCCCAUUCCAACUUCGGUGACUAGAGCAAUCGUCAAAGCAAGAAGAAAUUGACAUCCUCACUGUUGACAAUAUAAACGUUGGUGUAAAGAUCUGGUCGGGCAAAGGACGAGCAGAUUUCAGCAUCAACAUAAGCAUUACAACUUCUAGGAAUAUAUUGCACUAUAGUCUUUUGGAAAUCUUUUUUCUGGUCUUGAAUGUUAGACACAAUCCAGAAAAUUUCAGUUCUGCUGCCCUUUGUGUUAUUUAUUAACUCCUUCACUUCUUUGCAAUAUGUCUCAACUAUUAGGCAAGAUAAGGCUGCUUCCUUUGUGAUCUGCAAGCCCCACCUCAGAGCCUCAGCUUCAGCGAAACUAACCUCUCUUUUAAGAUCAGUCUGUUGAAUACUCGCUGCUAUCACAAUGCCAUUUGGAUAUCUGAUUACAGCUCCUAACCCCACCCUUUGGUCCUUGUUAUUAAUGGUUGUAUCAACAUUUACUUUGAAAAAAAAUUCUGGAGGAGGGAUCCAUUUUUCCUGUUUCUCUUUUAUGGCCUUGUCUAUAUGUGCAGCCCCUGUCUUCCUUACUCUUUGGUAGGCUUCCACUCUUGACUCCACCUUAGCUGCUGAGAUUCUUGGCUCCAAAAUCUUUCCUUCAAACAAAAACGUAUUUCUUGCAUAACAUGCAACCCGCAAGUAAGAUACCAUCUGCUCGAUUUCUGCCUUCCUUAAUCUGCUGGCCGUAUCCUGGAUGGUGGUGAGGAUGUCCUGAGAAGGAGAGUCGAAACUUAUUACAGUAAAAAGAGCAGGAGCCCAGAUCUUCUUUGUUGCUUUACAGCCUAAAAGGGCAUGGCUUGUAGUUUCAAUUGUCCUGCUGCAUCUUUGACAUAUUGGCACUUGAGUAAUCUUCAUUUUUCCACAAAUUUUCAGCAGUUGGCAGCAGGUUAUUUGUAGCUCUCCAUAUAAAGAUCUUAAUCUUUUCAGGCAAAUCAAGGGUCCAGAUCACAUUCCAUUGGUUCAAAAUGUUUCUCGAGCAACCGGGAUCUUCUGAGUGGUUGAGUUUUAAAGCCAAUUGGUAGCCGCUUUUCACUUAAUAUUCUCCUUUCCUAUCAAAAUGCCACAUCAUUGCAUCUUCGGAUUGCCUUUGGGGUAAAAUGAUCUUCAGGAUCACUUCUGUAUCUGCUGGCAUGAAGUGUUAGUUCAAUUUUUCCACAUCCCAUUGGUUUUCUGCAUUUAUUAUGUCAACCACAACAGAUUCAACAGGCAUGGUUGGGGGGAAUAUUGGCUUGAAAGUAUUUAGCCUUGGAAUCCAGCGGUCUUUGUAUACCAUAAUGUUUUGACCAUUUCUGAUAUGCCAUCUAACUCCUUCCUUGAUUACUUGCCUUCCCCAUAAUAUACUCCUCCAUAUGUAGGACAUGUUAGAUCCUAUAUUUGCAUUUACGAAGGUGGAAUUUUGGAAAUAUCUUGCCUGCAGCACUUUGGAAACUAGGGAGUUAGGAAACUGCAACAACCUCUAACUUGGCUUGGCCACCAGGGCUUGGUUGAAACUUGUGAAGUCUCUAAACCCCAUUCCCCCUCUACUUUUGGCAAUGUUGAGUUUGAUUUUUCCCAGUGAAUGCCCUGCUUGUCCUCCUUUGAUCCCCACCAAAAUUUUGCAAUGGCUCUUUGAAUGUCAUCACAUAAGCUCUUUGGAAGUUUGAAAGUGCUCAUGGCAUAUGCUGGGACUGUUUGAGUCACUACUUUGAUGAGAAAUUCCUUCCCACCACUAGAAAACAUCUUGUGAUGCCAGCUUGAAAUCUUGCUUAAGAUCUUUAGUUUGAUGUCCUUGAAGAAACUUGUUCUCUUUCUGCCUAUCAUGGAUGGGAGACCGAGAUAAUUUUCAUGUCUAGACACCACAUUGAGCUUGAAAAUAUCUUUGAUUGCUGUGAUUUGGGCUUUCAGAAUUUUGCCACUGAAAACCAUGGAUAACUUUUCAAAAUUGAAUAUUUGUUCAGAAGCUUCAGCAUAACAGUCGAAUAUUCUCUUUAAGUGUCUACAAUUUGCUUCUGAUGCUCUUAAGAAGAUGAGACUAUCGUCUGCAAACAGCAAGUGAGUAAUUGUGACCUCCUUGCAAAUCUCAAACCCCCCAUCAGUUGCUUCCUCUCUGCUUGAAACAAAAGAUUGGAAAAGAUCUUUGUACACAAUAUAAAUAAAUACGGUGAAAAAGGGGCAACCUUGUCGAAGGCCUCUCUCGAGUUGGAUGAACCCCUUUGGACUCCCAUUGAUUAUUACUGAAAAAGUAGCCAUUGUGAUGCAAUUCAUUCUCAAGCUCACCCACUUAUCUAAGAAACCGAGCUUAGCCAUUGUUUGCUUCAGGAAUUGCCAUUCAACCCUGUCAUAAGCCUAGUUGAUAUCCAAUUUUAGUGCCACCAUACAAUUCAUCUUCCCUUUGCUGUGUCUGAUCUUGUGCAAACAUUCAUAACCUAUUAUUACAUUGUCAGUAAUUAGCCUAUUCGGAAUAAAGGCACUCUGAGUUGGGGCUAUGAUCUGAGAUAGGAUUGGUUUCAGUCUAUUGGCAAUAGUCUUGGCCACUAUUCUAUAUACAACAUUGCAGAGGCUAAUUGGCCUAAAUUCAAUGACUUUCCUCGGCUUAUUUGUCUUAGGAAUAAGGGCAAUAAAAAUGUGAUUUAGGGAAGCAAGAUUACCUUGCUCAUUUAGGAUGUUUGUGCUUGAACGUAUGCAUAUGCAGCAAGGAUACCAAUGAAAACGAAAUUCCAUAAAUUACAAAAGUCACUCAAAACACGUACUCUCUUGAAGCAGCCUAAUGAGAAUUACCUGAAUCACAAUGACUCCUACUACUAUGUGGCAAUCCUUUCACUAAUAUAUAUGGUACAUUCAUACUUAAACGUAAUCUUGAAGUUGCCACUUGGGCUUUGGCCUAGUGGGGAACCACUACUCUCAAAGUUAAGCAGGACUAUGAGAAUAGUGGUUCGAGUCUACAUAGGAUCAACCUCCCUCAAUUAAGCAAAAAAUUGUGUAGAGUUAAUUUGUAAGUCUUUCUCCCUUUCAAAAUUCGAGUGGGGUAGAGACAUUUCUCCCUCGUCUGUGCAUGUACUUCAUAGAAUUAAUGUAAUAAUGUAAGUCCCAGUUAUAUAUCUUAAUAAUGUAAGUCCUAAUUAUAUAUCUAAUUGUAUGCUCUAACAGCAGUUAUAAAUAUCUGUGUAAUAUAGCAAUCUAAUGUCUAAUCAGUAUUAGUAUUAAAAAAAAAGUAAUCUUAAAGUUAAAGUUUGUAUCUUAAUUUUAUUCAAAUAUGCAAAUAGCAUAUUUUCAGUGCUAGAGAAAAACAAACAUAUAAAAACAUACAAACAAGUGAAAUAGAUUAUUAUUCCAUGUCAUUGUUAGGAGAAAAGAAUAUAAUCUCUUACUUUAAAAAACUCAUGUGAAAUUAGGCACAACAAAUGACGUGUUGCUUGUACAAGAAAGGUCAAUACAUCAUUUCAUCGAUAAAAGUUUAAUGUAGAAGAAACGUUGUUUGUCUAAAAAUAUAAACAACGUCGUCAAAAGUAUGCAUUGUCAGAUACUCUAUACACAUGUCGGCUACGUGAAUGCAGGGAGACGACAUGUUAGCCUAAUUUAUUUUAAGUGAAUUCCAUGUAGUCUUUAAAUUAAGUUAAUAGAUGAUGCAUCAUUUAUCACAUUCUCUCCUCUCUUUUUUUAAAUAUGCGGCAUGUCAUUUAUGUUAAAACCCUUUUAAUAUUUAUUGAUGUUAUGUCCAUUUUAUCAUUUUAAUUAAUUGUACUUAUUUAUCACGAAAAUCAAUCAUAUAAGGCAUUAAGUUUUCGUUUUUCAAUCCCUAUAUUUUCUUUUCAAAAUAAUUUCUUAAAUCUCAAUACUCCAACAAAAAAUUCAUGUACAUGAAAUUAUUUUUACUAUUACUAAAUGGUAUUGAGAAAAUUAUUUUAUAUGAUUAACAAAAAAUUAUCACAUGGAUCUCUUUUUGAACAAUUAUUUCCAAACGAAUACACCUAAGUCACUAAUCAAAGGAUAUAGUUUUCCAAAAAGGGAUAUAUAUGAUCAUUAAUGAAAAUAGAGGGAUUUCUUUAACGGUUUUGCGAAAUCACGGGUGUUGUUAUCUUUCCUAUAAUAUUUACAAUAUAAAGGAAAUAGAAAUUUUAAUGAUAACUAUCAACGUUACUCAACUUGGAGAUGAUGUUUGGUUGUAAAAGUGAGAGGAAAUCAAAAUAAUAGAGAGGAGAUGAUAACAAAGUAAAAUUUAAAUCUAUCGUUUGAUUUGCUAUAGAAAGGAAAUUACUCAAUUUUUAUUGGGACAAUUUCACCCUUUAAUGUUGUGCUUUGAAUAUUCAUUAUAAAGUACAAUUAAAAAAAUAAAUUUUAAUGCAAUUUAAUCUAAAUAAAUUAAUUAUUGUAAGUUAUACCUAAAUUUAUUGAAACCGACAAGUAUAAACAUUAUGAGUCGACUCAUCAUUUGGAUGAUGCAUUGUUUAUUAUUCUUUUAGUAAACGAUGUGAUAUCCACCUAUCAAAGAGAAAGACGACAUGAUAACCAUCUCAAUUUUUGGAACCAACAAAUAUAAAUAGUAUGCACGAGUACAUUUAUGCUGCGUUUACUUUUUGGAUUGGAGUGGGAAUCCUGAGGAGUGGGAAUCCUUGGAUUAGGAGUAUGGAGUGGGAGUGGGAGUAGGGUGUUUACUUAGACUAAAUGAAAGUAUGGAUUGUCAAUCAGAAUCUCAAUUAUUUAAAUUUAAUAAAAUAAAUAUGAUAUAAUUAUUAUUUUUAAUAAAUAUGAUAUUAUUUAUUUUAUUAAAUAUUAUUUAUUUAUUUUAAUUUUAAUUAUAAGGAUAAAAUAGGAAGAGGGGGGAGUGGAUUCCCGCUCUCACCUCCCCCAUGGGAGUGGGAAUCCCACUCCCCACUCCCCACUCCAAAAUUGAGUGGACCCACGGAUUCCCACUCCCACUCCCCAUUUUUUUAAGGUAAGUAAACACUAGAGUGGGAGGAAUCCACACUCCACAUUCCCACUCCAGCAAGUAAACACUACCUUAGAGGUUUAAACAUCGUUUAUCUUUUACUCGGGAAACGAUUUCUAUUAUCUUUUAACAAACUAGUGUCACUGUCCUCUCCUUUCUAAGAAAUAAAAAAUAUUAUUGUUGAGCAAUAAUUAAAAAUAAUUUAAACUGUGCCAUUUACUGUGAUUUAUCAACAUUGUAGGGGUCCAAAUGUUAUUGAACAAACGAAAUUUGUCCCUCUUUGAAAGAGGUUUAAAAUAAGAAACUGAAAACCUUAAACCCUGUGAACAAGUCCAUGUCCCCUUUGCCUUAAACCCGGCGAGCAAAUCUAUGUUCUCUUUAUUUAAAAUUGAAUAACAUUUUUUAAUUAAACUGAACCGAAUCGAUCGGUUUCUCGGUUCGGUUCUGGAAAACCAAACCGUGAACCUUCUCUCUUUAAAUUAAAUAAUAUUUUUUACAAAUGCAUGUCUUCCGUUCUGAGUCUCUCUUCCUGUUCCUGAUAAAGAGGCUAGUAGAUAGAGGGUACGCAUACGGUUUUUUUGAACCGAACCGAACCGAACCGACAGCCAAACCGACUGUUUCUUUAAAAAAUAUUGUUUAAUUUAAAAUAUAAAAUCAGAAAUCAAAUUCAAUUCCUAAUUUCCAAUCUAUUUCCAAAUCCUAGAUCGGCGGCAAUCUCUCUCAGACUUUCACACUCACGGUCGCGGACUCGCGGUCUCACUCUCACCAAACACGACCAGGCGUCGUCACCACCAUCUGCCACUGCUCGUCUCCUGCAGUCAUCUUCGCCGGCCGCCGCUGAAGCAUCAACCACCCAUUACUAACUAUUCAAGCCGUCACGACCGUCAGCCGCCGCUUGUCACUCAUUGGACACUCACGGUUCAAGCAUCCACCACUGUCAACCGCCGCUCGUCUACUGUCUCAUCUUCGCCGGCCACCGCUCGGCAGUCGUCACCUCAUUCAUCUCGCCAGCUCUUGCAGCCUCUCUCCGUCGCUGCUGUCGCGGCCGUUGAAGGUGAGUACUGAGUUAUCAGUUGAGUUCAAUGAUCGUAGCAUUUGUUAAAUUUGACAAAUUUAUGGUCUGUUUUUUCAAACUAUGAAGGCUUUGUUUAGAAGUACUUUUGACAUUGUAAAAAGUGCUUUGAUGGGAGAUCGUUAUAGAUGUUCUUGCGUUGUCUGUCUGUCUUGAAGUAUUUGUUUUCAAAAUGAUUUUUCCAGGGACUGAGAAUAUUCGAUAAUUCUUUUUUUUUUUUUCAAAAUGCAUAAUCAGAUACAUUUGUUGGAAAUGUUUUGGAGAAUAUUUCUUUUAGAAAUACCAUUUAGUCAUAAACCUAGUAGCUAACAGCGAGCUCCUUUUCCAUAUGAUUUUGGACUCGCCUAUUUUCAUUCUAAAGUUAGUUCAAUGGGUUAAGUCUUUUGGAUGGUACAAGAAGUCUUAGAAUCAAAUCCUAUGUUCAGGAUGUGAUUUUAGUUUAUUAUUUUCUUAGAAUCAAAUCAUAUGCACUGGAUGUGAUUUAGUUAUAUUUCACCGAACUGAUUUCAAAAUUGAUUUCUUAAAAUUUGGUUCGGUUCGGUUCUAAAUUCAGUUUGAUUUUGGUUCCAGAACUGAACCGAACCGAGCUGUAUACUGCCCACCUCUUAGAGUGUGAACAAAACUGAAAUUUAUUCUAAUCUCAGACCCAUUUUGUUCCAAAACAGUUUCAUAAUAUGGCUUGCACAAGCUACUGUCUUUCUCCUUGUGUGAAGCUUUGCAGCAGCAGCAGCACCAAGUGCUUUCAGUUUCAGAAGCCAUUUGCUUCAUCAAAUAAUCUUAGAUUCUCUGUGGGACCCAAUUUCAGUAUCAGUUCUAAUCCCCAGGGUAGUAAAAGUUCAUUCUUUAGCACUGUCAAGUGCCUUGCCCAGAAAUCACAGCCGUCCGUUUCAGUUAGGGGGGGGGGGGGGGGGUUGGGUUUAAAUUUAUGGGUUUUGUUUAUUUUGGUUCUAAUGUUAUCUUGUCAGAUGGGUCAUUUUUUUUUUUUUGUGUAGUAUAAUGUUUUAUUGAUAAAAAUGUCAAUUUUUACCAGUGUGAAAAUAUUGGGAAAGAGAUUAUAUGCAGGCUGUACAAAUAGUUUUUGAUAUUUCAGUUGCUAGGAUUAUGGUAUUUGCUAGUUCUCGUGUUGGUCUAAUGCCAUAAUUAAUGGAUCUGUUUCAAUUUCUAUGGCGAAGCAUGGAAGAAUACUGAAAGCAUUGAAUUUUGUAAUUAUAGUGAUGAGAUGGUAACGUGGAAGUGUUACUUCAAUUUAACAAUUUUGUUUAUGCAUCGAUUGAAGGAAAAAAGAGAAUUAUGAAUGAUUUUUUUUUUAUUUGUUGAUAAAUUAAGCCUUUGUAGUUUGCUAAUGGUGCAGGGCAGAGGGUGGUAGUGUUGGUCAUUGGUGGAGGGGGAAGGGAACAUGCACUUUGCUAUGCUUUGAAGAGAUCUCACUCAUGUGAUGCUGUAUUUUGUGCGCCUGGUAAUGCGGGGAUAUCCAACUCAGGUGAUGCUACUUGUAUAGCAGACCUAGACGUUUUGGACGGCGAUGCUGUGAUAUCUUUCUGUCGCAAAUGGAGUGUGGGACUAGUUGUUGUUGGACCAGAGGCUCCUCUGGUUUCAGGUCUUGCCAACAAACUAGUGAAAGCUGGAAUCCCUACUUUUGGCCCAUCUUCAGAAGCUGCUGCUUUGGAAGGCUCUAAAAACUUUAUGAAGAAUUUGUGUGACAAAUAUGGGAUUCCUACUGCUAAGGUUUUUGCUUCUGGCUUUGAUCUCAAUUAGAAGUUUGAUUUUACCAGACCAGGGAAAUGACCAUGAUCACUGCUGAUUCAAUAACGAUGUUGCCAUUUCUUAUUCUAUUGGUUUCUUUUUCCUUUUAACUUUUAUGAACAAGUUGAACUAUUACUUGGCAGGAAAAUCAUUGUUUUGCCUUUUUUUUUUUUUGGCCUCCUUUUUUUUCUGGUCAAAUAAUAUUUUAAGGUCCUUGGUCUCUUAACUUUCUCAUUCCUGUGCAAAAGAAACACUCAGCUGAUAUUUUGAUUUUUUGCUGCAGUAUAAAACAUUUACGGACCCAAAUGCUGCAAAGCAGUAUAUUCAAGAGGAAGGGGCACCUAUUGUUGUCAAAGCAGAUGGAUUGGCUGCUGGAAAAGGAGUUAUUGUUGCUAUGACAUUGGAGGAGGCAUAUGAAGCUGUUGAUUCAAUGCUACUGAAAAAUGCUUUUGGUUCUGCUGGGUGUCGUGUCAUUAUUGAAGAAUUUCUUGAAGGAGAAGAAGCAUCCUUUUUUGCCCUUGUCGAUGGAGAGAAUGCCAUACCUCUAGAGUCUGCUCAGGAUCAUAAACGAGUUGGUGAUGGUGAUACCGGGCCCAACACUGGUGGGAUGGGGGCUUACUCUCCAGCACCUGUCUUAACGAAAGAACUUCAGUCUGUGGUCAUGGAGUCUAUAAUUCUCCCCACAGUGAAAGGAAUGUCAGCUGAGGGAUGCAAGUUUGUUGGGGUCCUAUAUGCUGGUCUCAUGAUUGAGAAGAAGUCUGGCUUACCUAAGCUAAUUGAGUACAACGUACGAUUUGGAGAUCCAGAGUGUCAGGUGAGUUGAAAAUCUUCUUGGCAUAUUUGUCUUAUGUGAUCCAGCUUAAUCUUAAAUAUUGGUUCAAGGAAUGUUUGUUCGAAGAAUUGGUUCUACCACAAGGCAGAUCUUUUUUCUUAAUUUUUUUUUUUUUUUUUUGUUACCCACCCAGAUUUAAAUCAAACUUCUCCUUAUUAUCAGUGUGAAUGAAAUUCCAUCCCAAGGGACUAUUCACUAGUGUGCCAUGACUUGAUGUUUAUUCAUAUUAGAUUAAGGUUGUGAAAGUAUAUGGAGUAUGUAAAUGUUCACACAAGGUAGUGAGGGGAGAGUUUGUGAAAUGGAAAGGGAUUAACUUUUAGACUUACAAAAGAUGUUGAUAUGCUUGAAUUUGUUAUUGCGCUUGUAGUUGCCCGAAAAAUAUGAGUCGGACUCUGCUUUACCUUUGGAAAAACAUCUGCUUUGUCUGUUGAAGGCUCAACGAAAUGGACUUGCUUUACACUGUUUUCUUAUUAAAAGCGGCAUGAUAUAGGUUCGUGCAUGUAGCUUUUGUAUGUCCUACUUAAAUCAUAGCCCUGUAAUAAGAAUAAUAGUAUUAUCUAUUUUAUAUGAUUUAUGAAGUAAUCGUGCCAAAAUGCGGUUGUGGCCAUCUUUUUGGUGCAUGUACAUGAUUGUUUGUUGAUGCUCAAACUAAGAUUUAGUCUACCGCUGGCUGCAAAUUUUACUUGCGUAGUAGCUUGUAUAAUUUUGUUAAACACUGACAUAAUUGACAUUGGUUUUGCAUUAACCUGUGCCUUGUCCCAUUAAUAAUGAUACACAGGUUUUGAUGGUGAGGUUGGAGUCUGAUCUGGCAGAAGUUCUACUUGCCGCUUGCAGAGGAGAGUUAACUGGGGUAACGCUGAACUGGUCCCCAGGAUCUGCCAUGGUUGUAGUAAUGGCGAGCAAAGGUUACCCCGGAUCCUAUGAGAAAGGAUCUGAGAUCCAGAACCUCGAAGAAGCAGAACAAGUUGCUCCUUCUGUAAAGAUAUUUCAUGCAGGGACAGCACUUGACGCGGAUGGCAACUUUAUUGCCACUGGUGGCCGUGUUCUUGGGGUUACUGCAAAGGGAAAAGAUGUUGAAGAGGCACAAGAUAGAGCUUACCUAGCAGUGGAGGAAAUCAACUGGCCAGGAGGGUUCUACCGGCGAGAUAUUGGAUGGAGAGCACUUCCUCAAAAGCAAUUUGCUACAAGAGAGUAAAACUAACGUCC